rnacentral:rRNA from 1 species
AAUGAACGCUGGCGGCAUGCCUAACACAUGCAAGUCGAACGAAGGCUUCGGCCUUAGUGGCGCACGGGUGCGUAACGCGUGGGAAUCUGCCCUUGGGUUCGGAAUAACAGUGAGAAAUUACUGCUAUACCGGAUGAUGUCGAAAGACCAAAGAUUUAUCGCCCGAGGAUGAGCCCGCGUAGGAUUAGCUGGUUGGUGAGG